UACUUUUUUCUGUUUCUGGAAGAUCUUCUAAUUUGUAUUUUUAACCAGAUUGUUGCUAGUAGGGUUUUAUUUCCACGCCCACAAGGCUCUGUAUGUGCUCUCUCUCCCGUGUAUCUGUAUAUAUAUUAUGUGAAGUCAUAUCUGGAUCAUUAUAUAUAUCUUAUCAAAUCAGCCACCUCUUAAUCCCAAAUCAGGCUGCAGGCAUAUCAGAAAUCAAAUGAUUUGCGGGCAUGUGAUUUGAAUGAAGCUGGACAAAAAUAGUGGAAGAAGUCAUUUACUUGUUUGUAUGCCUGUAAAAUCUUUGUGGAAUAUAUGCUUGAGUUUCUAAAACUUAAUUAAAUAAGUGCUUUUCAAGCAAUCGUCUUAUUUAUAUCUAUGAUAUGUUAACAGUGAAAAUAUCAGCAAUGCCAAUGAAGAAGACUCCAAAGAGGAGCUUCCCAAGAUAGGACACAAGCUACUAUUUUGUGCUUGCUCCAUUUCUCUCUCUGCUGAAGACUUUCAAAGUCUAAGCAUUGGGGAAGAUCAUAUGGAUGAGAAUUCUACUAGAGAAGAUAUCGAGGAGGAUAAAGUUUAUGAGGAGUCAAUAAGAGAAGCUUCCGAGAAUCAGGCAGAGUCUGAAACGACUUCCAAGCCUAGCAGUUCAGAUUCUGAUGGUUAGCAAGGAUUAAUUAAACGACUAAAGAAAGCGCCGUCCAUACAUUUGCAUAUGUUCCGUCCUAGCAUGCCUUUGCUACCUUCACUGCCUUCCAUAAAGACGCUAUCCAAAAGAAAAAGUAGGAGUGUGUGGCCGAGCAUACCAUUGCUGCCUGCUCCCCAUCUGGAUACUAAUUUGCAAUACUUCUUUGAAAAUAAGUGGAAGAGUUUCUCCCUUUCAGAACUUCAUCAAGCUACCGACAACUUUA